GGAGUGGUGUGGGCCUUUGAGAGGUGGGGCCUCACGGGAAGUCUUUGCUUCAUUGGGGCCGUGUCUUACAGGACCCCCUGAUUCUCUGCCUCUACUUCCUGCCUUAUCUUGUGACUACUUGUGUUCUGGCCAUUGCCACCUGCUGUCCUCAGAAGCCAAACCGAGGGGCCGCCUGAUCUCGGGUGGACUGGGAAAUUCUCAUCACACCUACACUGACAGAAGGUCUGAGACACUGGACUCCUGCAUCUAGGCCUCAGUGCUGGCUCCCAGUGGGCCCGCCCUCUCCUUGAGGGCCCCCGUCCUUCCGUAACCUAUAGCCUCACAGCAGAAUCCAUCCCAAGAGCAGAAGCUGUAAGUCCUCUUGAGGCCAAACUGGACAAACUGGAAUUCAUGCGAUGUUACCUCUGCCGUGUUCUGCUACCUUACCACAUGUCAGCAAGACCAGCCCAGCUAAGAAAUUCUUCUCCCUCUCUUACUUUUUGUUCUUUGAGACAGUCUCUCAGUAUGUAGUUCAGCCUGGCCUCUACUCAUGACCAUCCUCCUGCCUCGGCUUCCUGGGUGCAAGGAUUCCAGGCAUGUACCACCAUGCCAGACAAGAUUCUCUCCCUUUUUUUUUUUUUGGUACUGGGGAUAGAACCCAUAACCUUGCACUUGCCAGGCAGGCACUGUGCUUCUGAGCUAUGUCCUCAGGCAAACAAAAUAUUUUUUAAUUGAAGAGUCUCAUACAUAACAUGAUCACUUAGAGAAAUCUAUUCAAUCUACCAUAUAUGAGUUUGAAAUGUAUUUUUAAAAUAUGAUUUUUAAAAAAUUUUUUUGUGUUUUUCAUUUUUAUCAGUACCAGGGAUCGAACUCACGACGGCCUGCUUGCAAGGCAGCUGCUUAUGCCACUGAGCUAAAUCCCCAGCCCUAAAAUAUGAAUAUAUUUUGAAACUUCCCUAUUUUGAAACAGAGAUUAAAAAUCAGAAACUUCUAGAAUAACAAAAAAAUUAAGUGAAAUGCCGGGCAUGGUGCCUCACGCCUGUAAUCCCAGCACUCGGGAGGCUGAGGCAGGAGGAUCCUUGUGAGUUCGAGACCAGCCCGGGCAACACAGUGAACUCAAGGCCAGCCUGAACUGCAUAAUGAGACCCUGUCUCACAAAGACAAAUAAAUAAGUGAAAUAAGAUACUAUUUGAAAUCAGAAACUGCUGGGUAAAGACUGUCAAAUAAUAAUAAUAAUAAUAAUAAUAAUAAUAACAAA